GCCCCGUUGCUGCAGGCGGAACGGGGGAGGCGCGGCGCCGCUCGCCUCAAGGGCUGGCGCUGCCGCCUCGCUCCUUCAGGCAGAUCUCUGCUUCCAAACCCAAGCCCUAAUUUUCCCGAGAGGUUCUCCCGUGGAGCCUGUCGUGAGCUGGUCCCCUCCCCAGUUUGCUCUGUGAGGGACUUCUUGGUGCCCGGGGUCCUCGUUGCUGUUUCUUCUGAGAGAAGAUGAAAUUCUAAAACACAGAAUGGUUGAAGUUGGAAGGGACUUUGCGAGGCCAUCUUGUAUGCCCCACUCAGGCAGGCUGACCUAGAACCAUUUUUCUGGGAGCAAUAUUGUUACUGCAUCAUGUGCAAGAUGCACACUAAAAAUAAGACGCACUGGCUCGGAAACCUUUCCUGUCAGAAUCAACCAUAGCACUGAUUCCUCAGACAGGCCACUGAAAGCUUACAAUAUGCUUUUUAAUGAAGAGCUGUAUGUUGGCAUUACUGGAG